rnacentral:rRNA from 1 species
AGAGUUUGAUCAUGGCUCAGGAUGAACGCUAGCUACAGGCUUAACACAUGCAAGUCGAGGGGAAACGAUAUUGGAAGCUUGCUUCCGAUAGGCGUCGACCGGCGCACGGGUGAGUAACGCGUAUCCAACCUGCCCACCACUUGGGGAUAACCUUGCGAAAGUAAGACUAAUACCCAAUGAUAUCUCUAGAAGACAUCUGAAAGAGAUUAAAGAUUUAUCGGUGAUGGAUGGGGAUGCGUCUGAUUAGCUUGUUGGCGGGGUAACGGCCACCAAGGCGACGAUCGAGUAGGGGUUCUGAGAGGAAGGUCCCCCANAUUGGAACUGAGACACGUCCAACUCCUACGGAGGCA